rnacentral:misc_RNA from 1 species
UUCGAAAUUAAAUCAGACCGACCCACUUGCUAGGUUACCAAACUCAAACAAUGAUUAGAUUUCCAACCAAACAAUAUUAUGUCCAUAUAUAUAAUAUAUUCUAAUAAAUAUAAAUAAAUAAAAACCACAGAUUGAGACCUGGCCCCAUAAAGCCAUUUGAAGAAAAGGCCCACUUGCAAUUGAUGUGGACUCCACCAUCAAUCACCUUACCUAAUGUCCUCAUCUCAUCUCUCACCUUGUUAACUCCGUCAAAACGUUAGCCUCCGUCUGCCUAAACCUAGUUAACAUUGGAUUCCAAACGGCUACCAGACGCUAUACUUUAACCUGUCAACUAAGGCACGACACAUUAUUUGUGCACGUGUCCAAAACCCAUUGCGUGAAUUUCUCCGUUGCCGUGACGAAGUCGGUUAUCUCCUGUUCUAUAAAUAAAACGCCGCACGCCUUCCCUUUCCACCGUUGUUAUUCACUUAUUCUCUUCCCUUCUCUCGUGAAGCUCUCGGAAAUUAAUCAAAAAGCCCCUUCAAGGUAAAAUUUAAGUUACUUUUUGUGUGUUUCAAGCUGGGUUUCAUGUUUUGUUGGUUCUG